rnacentral:rRNA from 1 species
UAAGCAUAUCAAUAAGCGGAGGAAAAGAAACCAACAGGGAUUGCCCUAGUAACGGCGAGUGAAGCGGCAACAGCUCAAAUUUGAAAUCUGGCUCUUUUAGAGUCCGAGUUGUAAUUUGCAGAGGGCGCUUUGGCGUUGGCAGCGGUCCAAGUUCCUUGGAACAGGACGUCACAGAGGGUGAGAAUCCCGUACGUGGUCGCUGGCCUUCGCCGUGUAAAGCCCCUUCGACGAGUCGAGUUGUUUGGGAAUGCAGCUCUAAAUGGGAGGUAAAUUUCUUCUAAAGCUAAAUACUGGCCAGAGACCGAUAGCGCACAAGUAGAGUGAUCGAAAGAUGAAAAGCACUUUGGAAAGAGAGUCAAAUAGCACGUGAAAUUGUUGAAAGGGAAGCGCUUGCAGCCAGACUUGCCUGUAGUUGCUCAUCCGGGCUUUUGCCCGGUGCACUCUUCUAUAGGCAGGCCAGCAUCAGUUUGGGCGGUUGGAUAAAGGUCUCUGUCAUGUACCUCUCUUCAGGGAGGCCUUAUAGGGGAGACGACAUGCAACCAGCCUGGACUGAGGUCCGCGCAUUUGCUAGGAUGCUGGCGUAAUGGCUGUAAGCGGCCCGUCUUGAAACACGGACCAAGGAGUCUAACAUCUAUGCGAGUGUUUGGGUGUCAAGCCCGAACGCGUAAUGAAAGUGAACGGAGGUGGGAACCCUUUUAGGGUGCACCAUCGACCGAUCCUGAUGUCUUCGGAAGGAUUUGAGUAAGAGCAUGGCUGUUGGGACCCGAAAGAUGGUGAACUAUGCUUGAAUAGGGUGAAGCCAGAGGAAACUCUGGUGGAGGCUCGCAGCGGUUCUGACGUGCAAAUCGAUCGUCAAAUUUGGGCAUAGGGGCGAAAGACUAAUC